rnacentral:rRNA from 1 species
UACGGAGGGGGCUAGCGUUGUUCGGAAUUACUGGGCGUAAAGCGCGCGCAGGCGGCUAUCCAAGUCAGUGGUGAAAGCCCGGAGCUCAACUCCGGAACUGCCAUUGAAACUGUUUAGCUUGAGGACGAGAGAGGUGAGUGGAAUUCCCAGUGUAGAGGUGAAAUUCGUAGAUAUUGGGAAGAACACCGGUGGCGAAGGCGGCUCACUGGCUCGUUUCUGACGCUCAGGCGCGACAGCGUGGGGAUCAAACAGG